rnacentral:rRNA from 1 species
AUCUUCUUCGGAGAGAGCGGCGGACGGGUGAGUAACGCGUGGGUAACCUGCCCUGUCACACGGAUAACAUACCGAAAGGUAUGCUAAUACGGGAUAACAUAAGAAAUUCGCAUGUUUUUUUUAUCAAAGCUCCGGCGGUACAGGAUGGACCCGCGUCUGAUUAGCUAGUUGGUGAGGUAACGGCUCACCAAGGCGACGAUCAGUAGCCGACCUGAGAGGGUGAUCGGCCACAUUGGAACUGAGACACGGUCCAAACUCCUACGGGAGGCAGCAGUGGGGAAUAUUGCACAAUGGGCGAAAGCCUGAUGCAGCAACGCCGCGUGAGCGAUGAAGGCCUUCGGGUCGUAAAGCUCUGUCCUCAAGGAAGAUAAUGACGGUACUUGAGGAGGAAGCCCCGGCUAACUACGUGCCAGCAGCCGCGGUAAUACGUAGGGGGCUAGCGUUAUCCGGAUUUACUGGGCGUAAAGGGUGCGU